rnacentral:rRNA from 1 species
GGCUAACGCUGGCGGCGUGUCUUAGCCAUGCAAGUCGAGCGGACUUAUGGGGUAACUUAUAAGUCAGCGGCGGACGGCGGAGUAACACGUAGCUAACCUACCCUCUGGACGGGGAUAACCUACCGAAAGGUGGGCUAAUACCCGAUGUAGUCAUCCUGUAUAGGGGUGAUGAAAGGUGGGCUUCUGUUUACAAGCUCAUGCUGGAGGAGGGGGCUGCGGCCUAUCAGGUAGUUGGUAGGGUAAUAGCCUACCAAGCCGAUGACGGGUAGCCGGCCUGAGAGGGUGACCGGCCCGAGGGGCACUGAGAUACGGGUCCCACUCCUACGGGAGGCAGCAGGCUAGAAAUUUGGGCAAUGGGGGAAACCCUGACCCAGUGACGCCGCGUGCAGGAAGGAGCCCUUCGGGGUGUAAACUGCUGUCGUGUAGGGAGAAGGGUACUAAGGUGAACAAUCUUAGUACUUGACGGUACUACAGGAGGAAGCCCAGGCUAACCUCGUGCCAGCAGCCGCGGUAACGAUAGCGUACU